GUGAAUCUAAAAGGCUCCAGCAGCAGCUGGAAGACGGUUAAGGGUCCAUUUGUGGAGUGUCAGCUGAAUCUCUGCGUAGUUUCAGCAACAAUGUCUUCAGUUCAGCAUCUGAGAGAGUUUAUCAGAGAGCGACUAACUGCUGCUGCUGAAGAAAUCUUCUCAGAGGUUGAGAAAACCAUCGUCCGCUACGAGGAAGACGCCAGACUGCUGGAAAGCUGCUGGAGACCCCAGAUAAAACUCCCCAGAAUCGACCUCCAAAAGCCACAUGUCUCCAUGGAGGAGGAAGCUUCUUCCAUCCAACAGCUCUGCAACCAGAGGAGAAGGUCCUGUCAUGACCAGGAGGAAGCAGAACCUCAGUGGUGUGAAGAGGAACAGAUGGAAUCAGAUCCUCCUCUGACUGAAGAACAGGGAGAACCAGAACAUCCAUGGAUUAAAGAGGAAAAGGAGGAACCAGAACCUCAAUGGUCUGAAGAGGAACAGAUGGAACUAAAGCCUCCUCUGAUUGAAAAACAGGGGGAACCAGUACCUCUGUGGAUUAAAGAGGAAAGGGAGGAACCAGAACCUCCACUAAUUAAAGAAGAAAAUGUGGUGCCUGAGUCUUCAUUGGCUAAAGAGGAACAAAGGGAACCAGAACCACAGAUUGAACAGCAAGAGAAACCAGAACUUCCACUGAUUAAGGAAGAAAAAGAGGAACCAGAUUAUUCAAGGCUUAAACAUGAACAGCACGAUCCAGAAUAUUUAAUAACUAGACAGGAGGAUGUUUGCAGCAGUCAUGGGGGAGAGCAGCUUGUCCAGAAGCAUUCUAUUGCUCUAAGGGAGACUUUUACUCUUCAAGAAAGUGAAAGAGAAGCAAGAACUGAGCAGCUUUCCUUUCAUAUCUCUCCUGUAGUUGAGCCCAAAGACCUCCACAAGCCACGUGUCUCCAUGGAGGAGGAAGCUUCUGCCAUCCAAAAGCUCUGCAACCAGAGGAGAAGGUCCAUUCAUGACCAGGAGGAAGCAGAACCUCAGUGGUCUGAAGAGGAACAGAUGGAACCAGAACCUCUACUGAUUAAAGAAGAAAUGGAGGAACCAGAACCUCCACUUAUUAAAGAAGAACACGUGGAGCCUGAGUCUUCAUGGUCUGAAGAGGAACAACAGAAACCAGAACAUCCAAUGAUCAAGGAAGAAAAGGAAAAACCGGGUUCUUCAAGGCUUAAACAUGAACAGCAGGAUGCUGAACAUUUAGCAACUAGAAUGUAUCAGGAGGAUGUCUGCAGCAGUCAGGAUGGAGAGCAGCUUGUCCAGAAGCAGUCCGUUGCUCUAAUAGAGACCUUUACUCUUCAAGAAAGUGAAAGAGAAGCAAGAACUGAGCAGCUUUCCUUUCAUAUCUCUCCUGUAGUUGAGCCCAAAGGUCAGGAAGGAAGCAGCUCCACUGGGUCAGAGAGUCAGUCUCGUACUGACACUAAGAAAAUGUCUUUAAAAUGUGACGUUUGUGGGAAGUCUUGGAAGAAAAAGAGUCAAUUAGAAAGGCAUUAUAGAACUCACACUGGAGAGAGACCCUUUCAUUGUCAGACAUGUGGAAAAAGUUUCACUCAGCAGAGUAAUUUAAAUGUUCACAUGAAAAACCACACAGAUGAGAGGCCUUUUGUUUGUCAGACAUGUGGAAAACGUUUCACUCAGCAGAGUAUUUUAAAUGUUCAUAUGAGAAACCACACAGGUGAGAGGCCUUUUGUUUGUCAGACGUGUGGAAAACGUUACACUCGACGGAGUGCUUUAAAUGUUCACAUGAGAAUCCACACAGACCUCCACAAGCCACGUGUCUCCAUGGAGGAGGAAGCUUCUGCCAUCCAAAAGCUCUGCAACCAGAGGAGAAGGUCCAUUCAUGACCAGGAGGAAGCAGAACCUCAGUGGUCUGAAGAGGAACAGAUGGAACCAGAACCUCUACUGAUUAAAGAAGAAAUGGAGGAACCAGAACCUCCACUUAUUAAAGAAGAACACGUGGAGCCUGAGUCUUCAUGGUCUGAAGAGGAACAACAGAAACCAGAACAUCCAAUGAUCAAGGAAGAAAAGGAAAAACCGGGUUCUUCAAGGCUUAAACAUGAACAGCAGGAUGCUGAACAUUUAGCAACUAGAAUGUAUCAGGAGGAUGUCUGCAGCAGUCAGGAUGGAGAGCAGCUUGUCCAGAAGCAGUCCGUUGCUCUAAUGGAGACCUUUACUCUUCAAGAAAGUGAAAGAGAAGCAAGAACUGAGCAGCUUUCCUUUCAUAUCUCUCCUGUAGUUGAGCCCAAAGGUCAGGAAGGAAGCAGCUCCACUGGGUCAGAGAGUCAGUCUCGUACUGACACUAAGAAAAUGUCUUUAAAAUGUGACGUUUGUGGGAAGUCUUGGAAGAAAAAGAGUCAAUUGGAAAGGCAUUAUAGAACUCACACUGGAGAGAGACCCUUUCAUUGUCAGACACGUGGAAAAAGUUUCACUCAGCAGAGUAAUUUAAAUGUUCACAUGAAAAACCACACAGAUGAGAGGCCUUUUGUUUGUCAGACAUGUGGAAAACGUUUCACUCAGCAGAGUAUUUUAAAUGUUCAUAUGAGAAACCACACAGGUGAGAGGCCUUUUGUUUGUCAGACAUGUGGAAAACGUUACACUCGACGGAGUGCUUUAAAUGUUCAUAUGAGAAUCCACACAGGUGAGAGGCCUUUUUCAUGAGGAAUAUUGCAGAAUCAGAAUCAAGUUUAUUGCCAAGUAGGUUUGCACUUAAAAGGAAUUUGACUUGGUGUCGAUGGUGCAGACAAAAUAGAUAUAUACACAGCAGGGGUGUCAAACUCAUUUUGGUUUAGGGGCCGCUUUCAGCUUAAUCCGAUCUCAAGGGGGCCACACAAGUAAACUCAUUGCAAGAUUAAAUAGAACUAAAAAAAGGGGACUUUUUGUUGAUUUUUAUACUAAACGAAUCUCCCUUUUACAAAAUAUAGUAUGAAUAACCUCAGAGUUUAGGAAAAAUAUGUGCAAUUUCAACAAUACUUUUACUCAGUUAAACAUUUAUUUAAGUGCAUUUUACAUAGGAACUGAUCACAGUGACAGUGAUCAUUUCCUAUGUAGAAUGUUGAACAUUUAUUCAGUUUUUGGGACCUAAAAACACUGUCCUGCAUGACAAAAUUAAUUAAACAGAUAACAAUUAAGAAAUUAUUUAAAAUCAAUGUUCCACAUCUGAAGCUCAGUGCUGCUGUUAGUUCUGAUUGUAACGCUUAUGAAGGCUAGGCGCCUGACUACGGCCAUAUAUGUUAAAGGGCAGUCAGAAAGGUUCGGCUGAGGAGCCUGUGUGUAAAUAAAAUACCAACAGACAAGUAGUAAGUUAAACUUAUUGUAUUCAAACUUAUAUUUUUUACAUACAUUAUUCAAUAAUAACAGGAAAACAACAACAAAAAAAUAAAUAACCCUGAUAACACCCAAGAGUUUCUUUCUCUUAUUUAAGUCUGUACUUUUGUUUGCAGGAUGAUUAAUGGUCCAUCAAUCAAUGAUCCGACUCCUUUUUUAGUCUAUGAUCCAUGGCAAUAGGUCCGGGAAAAUGAAAUGGCUUGGUUCAAUUAAUUCCUACCGCACAGCUGCAGUGAUGGUAGCUCACCAUCCUGGGUCGGAACAGGGGUGGAAAAGAAAAACCCCUCACCUAAACAAGGUCAUACAUAAAAACAAAAAUUAGCACUUGAGCAGGUUUAAACUGCCAUCCAAAACAUCUAAACAUUCAGAAAAAAUUAGCUAUAUUUCUUUUGCUGUGCAACUCCAAAGGAAUUAACCUAUUCCAGAGUUCCAUAGAAUAUUGACAAAUAUAACAAAAAUGACUUAAAAUUAUCCUCAAAGGACAUAAUUUUGAAAAAUCAGAAGGCUUAUUUAAUGCUUUAAGAACAUCUCUUCUAUUCGGCCACAAAAUCAACAAAAACAGAAUGAUCUUUUAAGCGAUAAGACCAUUUUUAAGAUGCCAAUACAUCGAUUUUAAGCAGGCGGGUCGCAACCGCAUUGCUAUUAUAAUAUAAAACAAACGGCAUAAAAUAAACGACUCACCAUUGAGUGGUUGCCAGAAAACCCCCAAUGGAAUCCUUCAUCUGGGUUAUUUGGACUUGAUUGAACAAUAUUCUAAAGUGAUUUAGGAAAAGCCAAAAGCCACUCCCCUAAAGUGAUUUAGGGGAGUGGUGGCCUUGUGGAUAGUGUUGAGUUUGGGUCCCAGAGGUUUUUAGUUCAACUCCCACUGACUACCACUCUGGGUCCCUGAGCAAGACCCUUAACCCCAGAUUGCUCCCCAGGCGCAGCACAUGGCAGCCCACUGCUCC